AGGAAUAUUGGUCAAUGGGCGGGAGCCUGAACCAGCCAAGUAGCGUGAAGGACGACGGCCCUACGGGUUGUAAACUUCUUUUAUAAGGGAAUAAAGUUCGCCACGUGUGGUGUUUUGUAUGUACCUUAUGAAUAAGCAUCGGCUAAUUCCGUGCCAGCAGCCGCGGUAAUACGGAAGAUGCGAGCGUUAUCCGGAUUUAUUGGGUUUAAAGGGAGCGUAGGCGGGCUUUUAAGUCAGCGGUCAAAUGUCGUGGCUCAACCAUGUCAAGCCGUUGAAACUGCAAGCCUUGAGUCUGCACAGGGCACAUGGAAUUCGUGGUGUAGCGGUGAAAUGCUUAGAUAUCACGAAGAACUCCGAUCGCGAAGGCAUUGUGCCGGGGCAUAACUGACGCUGAGGCUCGAAAGUGCGGGUAUCAAACAGGAUUAGAUACCCUGGUAGUCCGCACGGUAAACGAUGAAUGCUCGCUAUGGGCGAUAUAUUGUCCGUGGCCAAGCGAAAGCGUUAAGCAUUCCACCUGGGGAGUACGCCGGCAACGGUGAAACUCAAAGGAAUUGACGGGGGCCCGCACAAGCGGAGGAACAUGUGGUUUAAUUCGAUGAUACGCGAGGAACCUUACCCGGGCUUGAAUUGCAGGAGAACGAUCCAGAGAUGGUGAGGCCCUUCGGGGCUCCUGUGAAGGUGCUGCAUGGUUGUCGUCAGCUCGUGCCGUGAGGUGUCGGCUUAAGUGCCAUAACGAGCGCAACCCCUGUUCCCAGUUGCCAUCGGGUGAUGCCGGGCACUCUGUGAAGACUGCCUCCGCAAGGAGUGAGGAAGGUGGGGAUGACGUCAAAUCAGCACGGCCCUUACGUCCGGGGCUACACACGUGUUACAAUGGCAUGUACAGAGAGCCGGCGGUAUGCAAAUGCCGUCCAAUCCUUAAAACAUGUCUCAGUUCGGACUGGGGUCUGCAACCCGACCCCACGAAGCUGGAUUCGCUAGUAAUCGCGCAUCAGCCAUGGCGCGGUGAAUACGUUCCCG
rnacentral:rRNA from 1 species